rnacentral:rRNA from 1 species
UACGUAGGGUGCAAGCGUUGUCCGGAAUUAUUGGGCGUAAAGAGCUCGUAGGCGGCUUGUCGCGUCGACUGUGAAAACCUGGGGCUUAACUCCGGGCCUGCAGCCGAUACGGGCAAGCUAGAGUUCGGCAGGGGAGACUGGAAUUCCUGGUGUAGCGGUGGAAUGCGCAGAUAUCAGGAGGAACGCCGGUGGCGAAGGCGGGUCUCUGGGCCGAUACUGACACUGAGAAGCGAAAGCGUGGGGAGCGAACAGG